UUGUUGAAUAAUGUGGAAAGAAACCUGUUUGCAGGAGGUAGCUGGAGAGGCUCCAUGAACAAGGGACAGGGUUGACUUGGAAUGUUUCCAUUUAGAGAGAGCGAAAAGAAAAACUCAUAGCAGACUUGAAGAAGAAAAAAACAAUAUUAAGAAAGAGGGAAAAUAUCAGUGGAGACCCUUGGGCUAGAGGAAAAGUGAGCUCUUGCUGUAAGCCCAUAGCUGUGACUAACCUGUUCCUAAUUCCAGGCUCUCUUGCAGCUAGGGUGGUGUGUGUCUUUCUUUUGUUGUUAGUGAAUUUCCUUAGCUAUGCCUGAAUGCUACAGCUGAGCAUGGUAAAUUAUAAAGAAGUUAUUUCUCUCUCGGUCCUGGAAGCUCCGGAAUUCUUUGAGGACCUUGUACUAUGACGUAACAUGAGAGUCAGCAGUGUGUAACCUCAGGUCUCUGACUCUCCUAAAGCCACUAACACCAUCAUGGAGGCCCCAUCUUCAUGACUUCACCUCCCAAAGGCCCUACAGAGUCAUGUGGAUUAGAAGUGUAAGUGAGCGUGUUGUUUUCAUUUAAAAUACUAUGUGCACGUCAUGCUUAAGUGCAGGUGCCUGUGGAUUUCUUGGAACUGGCGUUAGAGGAGGUUGUAAGAUGCCAAAAGUGGGUGUUGAGAAUUGAAUUGGGGCUCUUCUGUAAGAGCAAUAGACACUCUUAACUGUUGAGCCAUCUCUCCAGUUCCGAAGUGUGUUUUUAAAAUCGUAAAUGCAGCAUGAAGUCCACAGGAAAAAGUUAAAAUGAAAGGAAAGACACCUCUUGUUCCCUUAGUUCCAUCUCUACAGAGUAGCCACAAAUAAUUGUUUGAAGAGGAGCACCCAGGCCUUCCUGUGUCCUCCAAGGUUGGUCCCCAGUGUGCAUGCUUGACAAGACCAUGAUUCUCUCAUCCUGAGAGCUCAUCUUCUUCCCUCCAAGCAUGGAUGGGCAGAUAACAAAAGGAAAACAAGGGGAGCUCAUUCACCCCACAAGAGUAACAACUUAAACGCGGAAGCAGGAAAGUUCAAGCAGGAAAGUAAAAGAUCUAAAACCCUCAGCAGCAGCAGGAUGUCAACCAAGAAGAUGCUGGUAUCUUAGCUCCAUUUUCCCAGGAUGCUUUGGGGGCACACCCGGAAGUCAGAAUGCAGAUCACAGACUAGACGGAGCAGCAGAUCUCCUGUCAGUUGGGUCUUGAAGGCCGGAGACAGCUGCAGGAACAGAUUCCCAUCUGCAGCCAAACUGAAGUCUGGGAGGCUGCGGCAGGAACAAGUUCACCUCCCUGAAGUUGCUCUUGAGCCUUAGAGGCUGGAGCAGUGGAAGCCUGAGUUCCCUCAUUUGCCUAGGACAGGUCACCUUGUGAUGCCAUGUGCUGCGGUAGGCUGUAGGGAGGGAGUAGUGUGCUGUUGGGACUUCGUCUCCAAUACUGUAAGUCAGUUUGCUGGAGCUGAACUAAGGAGUUUGCUCCUCCAAAAGAGCUGAGAGGCCACUGUGCAGCCGGAGCUACCUCUGCUGAACUGUCGCUUCAGAUAAACCUUGAUCUUACUGAAGUCAAUACAGUCAUGAAGAGGUUCUCUUUUCUCCCUCUGCUUCUUGCUUUGACCGACCCCUUUCCUGAAGCAGUGAAGAUGGAGCUCUUUGUCUCAAAGCCCGGAGUCCUUGUGGCUUUCAGGAUGGAAAAGAGUGUUCCGUACACGUCCCUGGAGCGUCCUGCUUCUGGGUGGAUUCUGGAUGGAGCCCCUGUUGUUGCCUUCUGUACACAGCAGUCUUCCCACUGCCCACCUUUGAAACCCCGGUCCACCCUACUUGAUUUGGCAUACAUCUGCCUCCCCCCCCCACACACCCCCAAGGCUGUGGAUCCCAGGAACUCAAAUUCCAGGAAAGUUCAAGUUAUGGUUACAUUUUAAGAGCAUUUAAGUUUUAGAGAAAACAGAAACAAACUUAGUUUGACCUUGAAACAAAAUGGCUACUAAGCUUAAGAUGGAUUCAGUCUGGUUCAUUGUACACCAUCCCCCAAAAUGGGGUAUUAAUGAAAAUGAUGUUUUCUGCAAGGAACAGAAAAUCCUUAAACAAUACUGCUUUUAGAAGACAGACCACACCUUGGUAGGCAGAGGCAGAGGGAAUCUCUGAGUUUAAGACACUCUGGUCUACAGAGGGAGUUCCAGGACAGCCAGGACCACACAGGACUACACAGAGAAACAGUGUCAAGAAACAAACAAAAGUCAUUUAUUUGAGAAAUGCAGAGCUGGACCGGUCAUGGGAGCUCCAAAAUGGAGCUCCCCUGAUCACCAAUAUACAACUUACCCCCACUAUAUGACUGGGGAACUCAAGCCUAGGAGGCAAAGAAUGGCUUACUGACAGCUGUCAAUCAAAACAGCAGCAGCUGAAAAACCUCAGCUGAAGGAAACUGAUGGUCACAGCACCGGGUGCGAAAGCAGCAAGCCUUCACAGUUACCAUAGCAACUGAGAAUCUGCAGAGGUAACAGUAUGACAGUUCUUUUCUGAUUAUUCCUAAGUCUCUCCUUAUCUGUGUGCUCACAUUCAGCCAA